UACGUAGGGCGCAAGCGUUUGUCCGGAAUUAUUGGGCGUAAAGAGCUCGUAGGCGGCUUGUCGCGUCGGAUGUGAAAGCCCCGGGCUCAACCUGGGAAUGGCAAUGGAUACUGGCAAGCUAGAGUGCGGUAGAGGGUAGUGGAAUUCCCGGUGUAGCGGUGAAAUGCGUAGAGAUCGGGAGGAACACCAGUGGCGAAGGCGGCUACCUGGACCAGCACUGACACUGAGGCACGAAAGCGUGGGGAGCAAACAGG
rnacentral:rRNA from 1 species